rnacentral:lncRNA from 1 species
UCUGGAGUAUGUAGGAAUCUUUAGGCUUUUAUUCUUGGCGGGGUUGGGAGGGGAUAGGAAGUAGACAGGUGAGUGAGCUCAAUCUGAUUUACAAUUCAGGCCUGUAUUGAUCAUCUAUUGGUAAAUAAACAAUGCCUUGGUCACUGUCACAGUCCCUAUAAGGUAAUGACUGGGAAUAUGGAACAAGAUUAUUGUGGCUAAUUCUGUUGCCAUUCAUCUUAGCUGUUGAUGAAGAUUGUGAGGAGGGAGACCAGAAGAUAAUGGACAACGAUACAGCAGAAGGGCCUGGUAAGCUCCGUUUAGUUGCAUUACCCGGGGAGACCUGAGGCAUGUUUCCAAGGGCUGUGGCUGCCUGUAGCCAUGGGAUCUCCAACUGCAUGCCAGAGUAAUGGAGAGACUUUGACAGCUCAGGUCAGCACAGUGCCUGCAGCUGCCACUCAUCUUUCCUAUAUAUGUAUAUCAGGCCUGGAGUUGAGCUCUGUCUACCUGUGAGGCUAUUGUUCUGUGGUAUUUACAACAAAUGUUUCUUCUGCAGGUUACACUUGAGCUUAUUUCUUGGAAGAGUCUGAGAAGACGGCCUGUCAGGCUCCUAACACUAAGGUAAUUGCUGGCUAAGACAGCCUGACCCUCUGGUUUCCCUUUCCCAUCGGAUCUUGACGCUGGUCUUGGUGGUCGUUAAGGAGGAAGAGUACCCUGAAGCUGGCCUCACAGCGAUGCAGUCUGCUGUAGAGCAGCAGGCCAGACUCAGACAUGCCUGGGCUUUGUGAAGUGGGAAAACUUGAGAACUGAUCAGUAUUGCUGAGUAAUGGCUUACUUUCAGGUUUUUUUUUUCUUUCUUUUAAGGGCCAUGUAACCAGUGAAGCAGCCAUUAUAUAUGAUUUGGUCUACACUUGUUGGAAAAAUUCCACAAGAGGAUCUGGAAGCUAGCAGAAGUUUUUGGCUUGUACAUUGCCAGGCAGCCAUUGGAAUCAGAGCUGCAGUCAGAUUAAGGCCAGCCUGGCCUACAUUGAGAAACCUCAUUUUGGGAAAGUGAAAUGCUUUGUCAAUUAACAUGCAGUUGGUUCAAUAAAGACUUUUGGAAAGUGUCCUCUCUGUAACUG